GCAGCCCCGACUCGCCACAACCAGAGAAAAGUCCUUGCAGCAACGAAGUCCCAGCACAGGCAAAAGAAAUAAAAUUUUAUAAAAGGAUGCUGUCAAAUCUCUGAGGGCACAGAGAACAGACCUUUGUUGAAGGCUGAACUUUGCUGCACCAGCACGAAGUGAAAACUUGAGAAUCGGUUCUGCAGCUUCCAUUAGAAGAAAAGAAUUGUCAAUUACCCAUAAUUAAUAUUUACUGAGGACUCACAGGGGUUGUAGCAGAUGUCAGUUCUGGGAUUUGGUUUUGCCCUACUUAGAAGCUGUCAUUUCGUG